CGCGUAGGCGGUUCGCUAAGUUGGAUGUGAAAACUCUGGGCUCAACUCAGAGCCUGCAUCCAAAACUGGCGGGCUAGAGUUCUGGAGGGGGUAGCGGAAUUCCUGGUGUAGCGGUGAAAUGCGUAGAUAUCAGGAGGAACACCGGUGGCGAAGGCGGCUACCUGGACAGAAACUGACGCUGAGGCGCGAAAGCUAGGGGAGCAAACA
rnacentral:rRNA from 1 species